UACGAAGGGGGCGAGCGUUGUUCGGAAUCACUGGGCGUAAAGGGCGCGUAGGUGGCGCGGGCAGUCAACGGUGAAAGUUCGGGGCUCAACCCUGAAUCGGCCGUCGAUACUCCCGGGCUUGAGCACUGUAGAGGCAGAUGGAAUUCCGGGUGUAGCGGUGGAAUGCGUAGAUAUCGGGAGGAACACCUGUGGCGAAAGCGGCUCACUGGACCGCAACUGACGCUGAGGCGCGAAAGCUAGGGUAGCAAACGGGG
rnacentral:rRNA from 1 species